rnacentral:rRNA from 1 species
CCUACGGGGGGCUGCAGUGAGGAAUAUUGGUCAAUGGACGAGAGUCUGAACCAGCCAAGUAGCGUGAAGGAUGACUGCCCUAUGGGUUGUAAACUUCUUUUAUAUGGGAAUAAAAUGUUCCACGUGUGGGAUUUUGUAUGUACCAUAUGAAUAAGGAUCGGCUAACUCCGUGCCAGCAGCCGCGGUAAUACGGAGGAUCCGAGCGUUAUCCGGAUUUAUUGGGUUUAAAGGGAGCGUAGGUGGAUUGUUAAGUCAGUUGUGAAAGUUUGCGGCUCAACCGUAAAAUUGCAGUUGAAACUGGCAGUCUUGAGUACAGUAGAGGUGGGCGGAAUUCGUGGUGUAGCGGUGAAAUGCUUAGAUAUCACGAAGAACUCCGAUUGCGAAGGCAGUUCACUGGACUGCAACUGACACUGAGGCUCGAAAGUGUGGGUAUCAAACAGGAGUAGAUACCCUAGUAGUC